rnacentral:lncRNA from 1 species
AUGAUGGCACCCAAGGGAAGCCCCCCCACCCCACCCCGUGGCAGAAAGUGCUGGAAAGCCUCAGUGCCUUAUGGGCAAACUCUCCCUCAGACAACGGUUUGCUGCCAGGAAACAGAUGUCCUGAAAUCCACCACUAAGUCCAGGCCACAAUGGGAAAGGAAAAGACAUCAAUAUCCCCUUCGCUGGAUGUGUAGACCUGGGCAGGUGUACGGAUCCCGGCCAUCUACAAACAUGGUGGGAUCCACAAAAGAACCAAUGAAAAAUUUGAGAAGGUGGCUGCUGAGAUGGGAAAGGAGUCCUUCAACCCUGCCUGGGUCGUGGAUAAACGGGAAGCUGAGUGUGGUAUCGUCAUUGAUCUAUCUGUGGAAUAUUCAAGAACAGCAAGUGUCAUGUUAGCAUCACUAUUGCCCCAGGACACACAGACUUAAUCAAAAACACGAUCACAGACAUAUCUCAUGGGCUGACUCUGCCCCCCUGAUUGCUGCUGCUGGGGUUAGUGAAUUUGCACCAGGUACUUCCAAGAAUGGGCAGACCUGCGCACAAGUGCUUCUGGAUUCCACAUGGUGUGCAAACCCACUGAUUGUUGAUGUUAACAAAGUGGAUUCUUUUUUUUUUUAAUAUUUUAUUUAUUUAUUUGACAGACAGAGAUCACAAGUGGGCAGAGAGGCAGGCAAAGAGCGGAAGGGAAGCAGGAUCCCUGCUGAGCAGAGAGCCCGAUUCGGGGCUCGAUCCCAAGACCCUGAGAUCAGGACCCUGAGAUCAGGACCUGAGCUGAAGGCAGAGGCUUUAACCCACUGAGCCACCCAGGUGCCCCAACAAAGUGGAUUCUAUUGGAGCCUCCCAACAGCCAGAAGAGAUAUGAAGACGUUAAGGAAAGCUACAUCUACAUUAACGAAAUUGGUUACAACCCUAACACAGUGGCAUUUGUGCCAGUUUCUGGUUGAAUGGUGACAGCAUGCUGGAGUCAAGUGCUAACACGCUUUGGUUCGAGGGAUGGAAAAUCACCUGUAAAAAGACAAGGGCAGUGGAACCAUGAUGCCUGAUGCUCUGGACUGCAUCCUGUCACCAGCUCAUGCAACUGACAAGCUCUUGUGUCUGCCCCCCUCGGGACAUCUACAAAACUAGGGCUAUGGGUUCCCUUUGCUCCAGUCAGUGCUACAAUAAGUAUAACUGAAGCUUUUCCCUCUCCCUGUGCUCCUCCCGCACCC